GUGGGGAAUUUUGGACAAUGGGCGCAAGCCUGAUCCAGCAAUGCCGCGUGCAGGAAGAAGGCCUUCGGGUUGUAAACUGCUUUUGUACGGAACGAAACGGUCCGGGUUAAUACCCUGGGCUAAUGACGGUGCCGUAAGAAUAAGCACCGGCUAACUACGUGCCAGCAGCCGCGGUAAUACGUAGGGUGCAAGCGUUAAUCGGAAUUACUGGGCGUAAAGCGUGCGCAGGCGGUUUUGUAAGACAGGCGUGAAAUCCCCGGGCUCAACCUGGGAAUUGCGCUUGUGACUGCAGGGCUGGAGUGCGGCAGAGGGGGAUGGAAUUCCGCGUGUAGCAGUGAAAUGCGUAGAUAUGCGGAGGAACACCGAUGGCGAAGGCAAUCCCCUGGGCCUGCACUGACGCUCAUGCACGAAAGCGUGGGGAGCAAACAGGAUUAGAAACCCUAGUAGUCC
rnacentral:rRNA from 1 species